rnacentral:tRNA from 5 species
GCCCAGGUGGUAUAGCCAGGUUAGCAUCGCCGGCUGUCGCCCGGCGGACCCGGGUUCAAAUCCCGGCCUGGGCG